rnacentral:rRNA from 1 species
CGGGGUGAGUAAUGUCUGGGAAACUGCCUGAUGGAGGGGGAUAACUACUGGAAACGGUAGCUAAUACCGCAUAACGUCGCAAGACCAAAGUGGGGGGACCUUCGGGCCUCAUGCCAUAAGAUGUGCCCAGAUGGGAUUAGCUAGUAGGUGGGGUAACGGCUCACCUAGGCGACGAUCCCUAGCUGGUCUGAGAGGAUGACCAGCCACACUGGAACUGAGACACGGUCCAG